GGUCCACCCGAUGCUUUCCUCUCCAAGUUCCUGAGAGAUAUUAAGGACAUGAAUGAUCACAAACAAGAGAGACACAUGGGAGUGGUAGAUCCAAGCGAGAUAAAGUUGGAUGUCAAGCAAUAUUACAGAUAUUUGGGUUCCCUCACUGUUCCUCCUUGCACCGAAGGUGUUAUUUGGACCAUAAGCAAGAAGAUAAUGACUGUUUCAGAAGGCCAAGUUAAAGCUCUCAGAGAUGCCGUCCAUGAUUAUGCGGCAAGAAAUGCAAGACCAGUUCAACCACUCAAUAAACGAGAGAUCAAGCUCUAUGGAGCAGAGGAUUAAUCAUCAGCAUUAUGCAAUCAUUCAAUUUUAUUUUUUUUUAUGAUGGUCCAAAUAACAC
rnacentral:misc_RNA from 1 species